UACGAAGGGGGCUAGCGUUGUUCGGAAUUACUGGGCGUAAAGGGCGCGUAGGCGGUUGUGCUAGUCAGACGUGAAAGCCCUGGGCUCAACCCAGGAUGUGCGUUUGAUACUGCACGACUAGAGUGUCGGAGAGGAUGGUGGAAUUCCCAGUGUAGAGGUGAAAUUCGUAGAUAUUGGGAAGAACACCGGUGGCGAAGGCGACCAUCUGGACGACAACUGACGCUGAGGCGCGAAAGCGUGGGGAGCAAACAGG
rnacentral:rRNA from 1 species